rnacentral:lncRNA from 1 species
CCCUCCUCACAAUGCUUCCCUGUUCAGUGCAAGCAAACGAGGACUAUGAGGACUAUGAGUACGAUGAGCUUCCAGCCAGGGACGACCCAGGUGCCCCUCUGCAGCCCGUGACACCCCUGCAGCUGUUUGAGGGUCGGAGGAACCGCCGCAGGAGGGAGGCGCCCAAGGUGGUGGAGGAGCAGGAGUCCAGGGUCCACUACACCGUGUGCAUCUGGCGGAACGGCAAGGUGGGGCUCUCUGGCAUGGCCAUCGCAGACAUCACCCUCCUGAGUGGAUUCCACGCCCUGCGUGCUGACCUAGAGAAGGUGUGGUCAGACCCCAGGGCAACCCCCUCUGCCCGGGUGCCGAGCCCUGUCAUGUGCAGGGCCUGUGACCUGUGACCACCUCCCCUUUUCCACAGCUGACCUCCCUCUCUGACCGUUAUGUGAGUCACUUUGAGACCGAGGGGCCCCACGUCCUGCUGUAUUUUGACUCGGUGAGUGGGGAGAGGUGACGUAGGAAUGGACUCGAUGGCACUGGGUGUACUGAGUGUGUGUUAGGAGGUUUCUCAGGAGACAGCUCUGUCAGCGGCCGGUGCUCUUGGGGACUUGAUGUCAUCAGCGAGAAGGAGGAGGAUGUGAGCCUGUGAGACACAGCAGAGUAAGGGGCAGACGUGCAGGUGGCAGGGGCCAGUGCCAGUCAGCGGGGACCCUCGGGGAUUGAGAGGGAUGCUUCGUAAAGCCGGUUUUAUUCAGCUUGAGGGGCUGCCUUUGUUUUUUUGUUGAACUUCCUUUUUUUUUUAUAUUAAAGUAUAUUUUCUUUUACAAAGUGACAGUGGCCAUAGAUGACAGCUGUAUUUGUCUUUUCACGGCCUUAUUUGGCUAAAAUAG